rnacentral:misc_RNA from 1 species
GAAAUGCGAUAAGUAAUGUGAAUUGCAGAAUUCAGUGAAUCAUCGAAUCUUUGAACGCACCUUGCGCCUUUUGGUAUUCCGAAAGGCAUGCCUGUUUGAGUGUCAUGAAAUCUCAAUCCCCCCGGGUUUAUGAUCUGGGUUGGGACUUGGACUUGGGUGCUGCCGGUUACAUGGCUCGCCUCAAAUGACUUAGUGGAUCUCUCUGCAUCUGUGACAGACGUAAUAAGUUUCGUCUUGUCCCUUGCUGUCUGAGUCUGCUCCUAACCUGCCAUCGUGCACUUUUAGACUCUGACCUCAAAUCAGGUAGGACUACCCGCUGAACUUAA